ensembl:lncRNA
AUGGUUUCCUCUGCACCUGCGUGUCUCACCGGGGCCACAAAGCCGUGUCUACAAGCUAAAGAAAAGAGGAAGGAACAAACUGAAGAAGCAGGGAAACCGGCGUCUCUCCUGCGUGUCAAAGGAUACGUUGGUAGAGAAUUUGGGUCUGAAAGUUCCCGUGUGGGAACCUCUCCCUCUGACAGGCGUGGGGUGGCAGGGACCGGCGCGAGCGUGCCCCGUCACCGCAGCUCUGCUGGACUGCUGCUCCGCCAGCCAGCCCUUUCCGAGCACCGUCCGAGGGCGAAAGCCAGCACGGAGGGCUCCUUGGAGCGGGGGUCCCCUGGAGCUCGCUGCCCGGGCCGGCCGCAGGGCGGUGGGCACAGCUCUAAUCCUGACGGCUUUCCGGUGCGCGGGAGGGAGCCAGGGGCCUGCCGGGCUGCCGCGAGGGUGGGGGGCGCCGGGGAGCCUGCGGGCAGGUCUGCUGGCGGCGCUUGUACGGCCGUGCGCCUUUGGCCGGCGUGGAGCCGAGGCUUCGCUCGGCUGCUUGCUUUUGGUGGCUCGUGUCCUCGCGCGUCGUCCAUCGCUGCGGGGUCCCAGAGCCGCCAGCAAGUGUCGGGGGGCUGCCGCGGCAUCCCGGCGGGAGCAGCGCACGGCCUUCCUGGUAGGCGGAGAAAGUGGGAAUCGCACGAGGGCCUCGGGCAGGUUUUGUUGGUGAGCAGAAGGCCGUCGAGAUCCCGGGAGCAGGCUCAGGACGUGCCGGUCCUCGGGAGCAGGGCGGGAGUGCCGCACCGUGCCGCUCGUCUCUGCGGCCCCGAGCCCUGUUUGCGAGGGCCCGGAGGGGCUGAGCAGGAGCCCGUCGCGGGCUUGCUGGCUGCCGCAGCGCGGAGCUGCCCCGGCGCAGAGCCCUGCGAGCCGCUGGCGCAUCCCCGGCGCCCCAAACCUGGGGUGAGGGGGUGUAAAACCGCACAGCGGGAUGCUUCCUCCUUCAGAGGCUUGGUUCCCUUCCCAGCUGCCCUUCUCUGUAGCCGGCACCUUGUUAUCUCAGGGAGGGACAGGUCGCAGGAACGCCCGCCGCACCUUUCCCCCUGCCGGGGCCGCGAGCCGGGGGCCCCUCGCCUCCCCUCCCUCCACCACUUUGCGCUUUCCCGGCCGUGCCUCGGCGCCUCGCGAGCGUCCCCGCGGGCCGGCGCCGUCCCCCUGGGGUGCGCGGGCAGGCCCUGCCCCCCCCCGGGCAAGGCUUUGCAGGGAGCGUCCGUCCGUCUGUCCGCUCUUAAAGCGUUGCCAAGCAAGAAGCGCCGGGGCGGGAGGCGCCUGCAAAGCAGACAGGCAAAACGCAAGACCGAAGCAGGGCACAGCUGA